rnacentral:tRNA from 1 species
UCCCUGGUGGCUCAGUGGUAAAGAAUCUGCCUGUCAAUGCAGAGACACAGGUUCGAUCCCUGGUCAGGGAA